AGCUGAUACUGGGAACGAAAACAGCUACUGAGAAAGUAGAAUACCUAAAGUUAUUUAAUUUAUAUCUGUAGUCUAUACACAAAAAUAAACUAUUGCUAACGAAAAGAUUCAGAGCAAAGUUCAGUAUGAUGUAUUUUAAAAUGUAAUUUUUAAUUUUCGUGAAAAUGUGUUUUUUCAAAACGCUUAUGAAAAAAAAAAUGCAUUAAAUAAUUAGUGUUUAAGACCUUUAUGCAUACAAUUUGUAGUUUAGGUACCUUGUGUUAAAUUUUCAAGUAUUUCUUUUAUAUACAGUCAUAGUACCUAGUCUAAGUUUAAUAACAGUUACCCAUUUACCAAAAUACAUAUAGAAAUAUCAAAUAACUAUAAAUAGCAUUAAAAUUGUUAAAAUGUUGUAAAAAUGUUACUAAGUCUAAAAAAAAGCUAAUAUAACAAAUUUUAAAAACUACAGGUUAGGUUACCUAUAUACAAAAUUGUUUAACUAAAUAACAAAAAGUCGUACACUUGGUCAUAUUGGUAUUUCCCAGGUUUUUCCCAGUUUUUGUAAUUAUUAGGAAAACUACGAAAAUACAACGACUUAAUCACAAACUAUAAAAAAAAAAAUUCUCAGAAAAUAUUUUAUUAUUGAAAUUUGAAAAAAAAUUUCUCGUAGAAAGUGUAAUCUUAAAAACUGAUUAUAAAACGGAACACAAACGAAAAUAUAAAAUUUAAAAAAAUAUAUGAUACUGAAGACGGGUGUAAGUGAAUAAAUGCUAGAUGGGUUAGGUAUAUAAAGUUAUUUAAUUUAUAUUUGUAAUCAACGAUGAACCAUUUCUAACGAAAAACGAUUUGGAACGAAGUUCGGUUGUACCUAUGUUCUACAUGUAUUCAUUAAAAGGUCGUAAUAUUUACGAACUUGGUCAUAUAGUAAAACUUUAAUAAAAGAAUAACAAUUAUACUG